CCUACGGGAGACAGCAGUGGGGAAUAUUGCACAAUGGGGGAAACCCUGAUGCAGCGACGCCGCGUGAGUGAAGAAGUAUUUCGGUAUGUAAAGCUCUAUCAGCAGGGAAGAAAAUGACGGUAACUGAUUAAGAAGCCCCGGCUAACUACGUGCCAGCAGCCGCGGUCAUACGUAGGGGGCAAGCGUUAUCCGGAUUUACUGGGUGUAAAGGGAGCGUAGACGGCAGCGCAAGUCUGAAGUGAAAUGCCGGGGCUUAACCCCGGAACUGCUUUGGAAACUGUGCAGCUAGAGUGCAGGAGAGGUAAGUGGAAUUCCUAGUGUAGCGGUGAAAUGCGUAGAUAUUAGGAGGAACACCAGUGGCGAAGGCGGCUUACUGGACUGUAACUGACGUUGAGGCUCGAAAGCGUGGGGAGCAAACAGGAUUAGAUACCCUGGUAGUC
rnacentral:rRNA from 1 species